rnacentral:rRNA from 1 species
UCCCAGUUCGGACUGUAGUCUGCAACCCGACUACACGAAGCUGGAAUCGCUAGUAAUCGCGAAUCAGAAUGUCGCGGUGAAUACGUUCCCGGGUCUUGUACACACCGCCCGUCACACCAUGGGAGUCGGGAAUGCCCGAAGUCAGUGACCCAACCUAUUGGAGGGAGCUGCCGAAGGCAGGUCUGAUAACUGGGGUGAAGUCGUAACAAGGUACC